UACGAAGGGUGCAAGCGUUACUCGGAAUUACUGGGCGUAAAGCGUGCGUAGGUGGUCUGUUAAGUCUGAUGUGAAAGCCCUGGGCUCAACCUGGGAAUUGCAUUGGAUACUGGCAGGCUAGAGUGCGGUAGAGGAUGGCGGAAUUCCCGGUGUAGCAGUGGAAUGCGUAGAGAUCGGGAGGAACAUCUGUGGCGAAGGCGGCCAUCUGGACCAGCACUGACACUGAGGCACGAAAGCGUGGGGAGCAAACAGG
rnacentral:rRNA from 1 species